UACGUAGGGUGCAAGCGUUGUCCGGAAUUAUUGGGCGUAAAGAGCUCGUAGGCGGUUUGUCGCGUCUGCUGUGAAAACUCGGGGCUUAACCCCGGGCCUGCAGUGGGUACGGGCAGACUAGAGUGCGGUAGGGGAGACUGGAAUUCCUGGUGUAGCGGUGAAAUGCGCAGAUAUCAGGAGGAACACCGGUGGCGAAGGCGGGUCUCUGGACCGGUUCUGACGCUGAGGCGCGAAAGCGUGGGUAGCAAACAGG
rnacentral:rRNA from 1 species